AGUGAACGCUGGCGGUAGGCCUAACACAUGCAAGUCGAACGGCAGCACAGGAGAGCUUGCUCUCUGGGUGGCGAGUGGCGGACGGGUGAGGAAUACAUCGGAAUCUACUCUGUCGUGGGGGAUAACGUAGGGAAACUUACGCUAAUACCGCAUACGACCUACGGGUGAAAGCAGGGGACCUUCGGGCCUUGCGCGAUUGAACGAGCCGAUGUCGGAUUAGCUAGUUGGCGGGGUAAAGGCCCACCAAGGCGACUAUCCGUAGCUGGCCUGAGAGGAUGAUCAGCCACACUGGAACUGAGACACGGUACAGACUCCUACGGGAGGCAGCAGUGGGGAAUAUUGGACAAUGGGCGCAAGCCUGAUCCAGCCAUACCGCGUGGGUGAAGAAGGCCUUCGGGUUGUAAAGCCCUUUUGUUGGGAAAGAAAUCCAGCUGGCUAAUACCCGGUUGGGAUGACGGUACCCAAAGAAUAAGCACCGGCUAACUUCGUGCCAGCCGCCGCAGUAA
rnacentral:rRNA from 1 species